rnacentral:rRNA from 1 species
UACGUAGGGUGCGAGCGUUAAUCGGAAUUACUGGGCGUAAAGCGUGCGCAGGCGGUUGUGCAAGACAGAGGUGAAAUCCCCGGGCUUAACCUGGGAACUGCCUUUGUGACUGCAUGGCUAGAGUGUGUCAGAGGGGGGUAGAAUUCCACGUGUAGCAGUGAAAUGCGUAGAGAUGUGGAGGAAUACCGAUGGCGAAGGCAGCCCCCUGGGAUAACACUGACGCUCAUGCACGAAAGCGUGGGGAGCAAACAGG